AUUGAACGCUGGCGGCGUGCUUAACACAUGCAAGUCGUGCGGUAACAGGCGUAGCAAUACGUGCUGACGAGCGGCGAACGGGUGCGUAAUACAUGGGAAUCUGCCCUUUAGUGGGGAAUAACCCGGCGAAAGCCGGGCUAAUGCCGCAUAAGAUCUUCGGAUGAAAGCGGGGGAUCGUAAGACCUCGCGCUGUUGGAUGAGCCCAUGUCGGAUUAGCUAGNGGUGAGGUAACGGCUCACCAAGGCGACGAUCCGUAGCUGGUCCGAGAGGACGGCCAGCCACACUGGGACUGAGACACGGCCCAGACUCCUACGGGAGGCAGCAGGUGGGGAAUAUUGGACAAUGGGGAACCUGAUCCAGCGACGCCGCGUGUGU
rnacentral:rRNA from 1 species